GUAUAUAUUAUUAUAUAGGCACAACAUUCUAUUAACAUACAUUGGGGUAAAUGAAGCAACAUAGACCUGAAAGGUCUACAAAAAGUGCACAGGUGGAGAUAUAAAGAUGACAAGGUGUGCACAUGCUCCCUAGAGAACCAGCAGCAACCCAUCAGGUUUAUUUCAAUAAUGAUCCUUCCGCAGGUUCACCUACGGAAA
rnacentral:misc_RNA from 1 species